UGGGGAAUAUUGCACAAUGGAGGGAACUCUGAUGCAGCGACGCCGCGUGAACGAAGAAGGCUUUCGAGUCGUAAAGUUCUUUUAUAUGGGAAGAUAAUGACGGUACCAUAAGAAAAAGCCCCGGCUAACUACGUGCCAGCAGCCGCGGUAAUACGUAGGGGGCUAGCGUUGUCCGGAAUCACUGGGCGUAAAGGGUUCGCAGGCGGAAAUGCAAGUCAGGUGUAAAAGGCAGUAGCUUAACUACUGUAAGCAUUUGAAACUGCAUAUCUUGAGAAGAGUAGAGGUAAGUGGAAUUUUUAGUGUAGCGGUGACAUGCGUAGAUAUUAAAAAGAAUACCGGUGGCGAAGGCGACUUACUGGGCUCAUUCUGACGCUGAGGAACGAAAGCGUGGGUAGCAAACAGG
rnacentral:rRNA from 1 species